CUUGCUAAGGCCGAUGGCGACCGGCGCACGGGUGAGUAACACGUAUCCAACCUGCCGUCUACUCUUGGACAGCCUUCUGAAAGGAAGAUUAAUACAAGAUGGCAUCAUGAGUUCACAUGUUCACAUGAUUAAAGGUAUUCCGGUAGACGAUGGGGAUGCGUUCCAUUAGAUAGUAGGCGGGGUAACGGCCCACCUAGUCUUCGAUGGAUAGGGGUUCUGAGAGGAAGGUCCCCCACAUUGGAACUGAGACACGGUCCAAACUCCUACGGGAGGCAGCAGUGAGGAAUAUUGGUCAAUGGGCGCAGGCCUGAACCAGCCAAGUAGCGUGAAGGAUGACUGCCCUAUGGGUUGUAAACUUCUUUUAUAAAGGAAUAAAGUCGGGUAUGUAUACCCGUUUGCAUGUACUUUAUGAAUAAGGAUCGGCUAACUCCGUGCCAGCAGCCGCGGUAAUACGGAGGAUCCGAGCGUUAUCCGGAUUUAUUGGGUUUAAAGGGAGCGUAGAUGGAUGUUUAAGUCAGUUGUGAAAGUUUGCGGCUCAACCGUAAAAUUGCAGUUGAUACUGGAUAUCUUGAGUGCAGUUGAGGCAGGCGGAAUUCGUGGUGUAGCGGUGAAAUGCUUAGAUAUCACGAAGAACUCCGAUUGCGAAG
rnacentral:rRNA from 1 species